rnacentral:rRNA from 1 species
GACGAACGCUGGCGGCGUGCUUAACACAUGCAAGUCGAACGGAAAGGCCCUGCUUUUGUGGGGUGCUCGUGUGGCGAACGGGUGAGUAACACGUGAGUAACCUGCCCUUGACUUUGGGAUAACUUCAGGAAACUGGGGCUAAUACCGGAUAGGAGCUCCUGCUGCAUGGUGGGGGUUGGAAAGUUUCGGCGGUUGGGGAUGGACUCGCGGCUUAUCAGCUUGUUGGUGGGGUAGUGGCUUACCAAGGCUUUGACGGGUAGCCGGCCUGAGAGGGUGACCGGCCACAUUGGGACUGAGAUACGGCCCAGACUCCUACGGGAGGCAGCAGUGGGGAAUAUUGCACAAUGGGCGGAAGCCUGAUGCAGCAACGCCGCGUGCGGGAGGACGGCCUUCGGGUUGUAAACCGCUUUCGCCUGUGACGAAGCGUGAGUGACGGUAAUGGGGAAAGAAGCACCGGCUAACUACGU